CCUACGGGCGGCUGCAGUGGGGAAUUUUGGACAAUGGGGGCAACCCUGAUCCAGCCAUGCCGCGUGAGUGAAGAAGGCCUUCGGGUUGUAAAGCUCUUUCAGCCGGGAAGAAAAUGCAUGGGUUAAUACCCUGUGCAGAUGACGGUACCGGAAUAAGAAGCACCGGCUAACUACGUGCCAGCAGCCGCGGUAAUACGUAGGGUGCGAGCGUUAAUCGGAAUUACUGGGCGUAAAGCGUGCGCAGGCGGUUUUGUAAGACAGGCGUGAAAUCCCCGGGCUUAACCUGGGAACUGCGUUUGUGACUGCAAGGCUAGAGUACGGCAGAGGGGGGUGGAAUUCCACGUGUAGCAGUGAAAUGCGUAGAGAUGUGGAGGAACACCAAUGGCGAAGGCAGCCCCCUGGGUCGAUACUGACGCUCAUGCACGAAAGCGUGGGUAGCAAACAGGAUUAGAUACCCCUGUAGUC
rnacentral:rRNA from 1 species